rnacentral:rRNA from 1 species
CCCGCACAAGCGGUGGAGCAUGUGGUUUAAUUCGAUGCAACGCGAAGAACCUUACCUGGUCUUGACAUAUCUAGAAUCCUGCAGAGAUGCGGGAGUGCCUUCGGGAAUUAGAAUACAGGUGCUGCAUGGCUGUCGUCAGCUCGUGUCGUGAGAUGUUGGGUUAAGUCCCGCAACGAGCGCAACCCUUGUCCUUAGUUACCAGCGGUUUGGCCGGGAACUCUAAGAAUACUGCCAGUGACAAACUGGAGGAAGGCGGGGACGACGUCAAGUCAUCAUGGCCCUUACGACCAGGGCUACACACGUGCUACAAUGGUAGGUACAGAGGGCAGCUACACAGCGAUGUGAUGCGAAUCUCAAAAAGCCUAUCGUAGUCCAGAUUGGAGUCUGCAACUCGACUCCAUGAAGUAGGAAUCGCUAGUAAUCGCGGAUCAGAAUGCCGCGGUGAAUACGUUCCCGGGCCUUGUACACACCGCCCGUCACACCAUGGGAGUUGAUUGCACCAGAAGUGGGUAGCCUAACCUUUUAGGAUGGCGCUCACCACGGUGUGGUUGAUGACUGGGGUGAAGUCGUAACAAGGUAACCGUA